ACGAACGCUGGCGGCGUGCCUAACACAUGCAAGUCGAGCGGGGAUAGGGCUUCGGUCCUAUUCUAGCGGCGGACGGGUGAGUAACGCGUGAACAAUCUGUCCUAUACAGGGGGAUAACACUUGGAAACAGGUGCUAAUACCGCAUAAGCCCACGGCCCGGCAUCGGGCAGAGGGAAAAGGGGCAACUCGGUAUAGGGUGAGUUCGCGUCCCAUUAGCUAGUUGGCGGGGUAAGAGCCCACCAAGGCGACGAUGGGUAGCCGACCUGAGAGGGUGAUCGGCCACACUGGAACUGAGAAACGGUCCAGACUCCUACGGGAGGCAGCAGUGGGGAAUAUUGGGCAAUGGGGGAAACCCUGACCCAGCAACGCCGCGUGAGGGAAGAAGGCUUUCGGGUCGUAAACCUCUGUCCCAUGGGAAGAGAUAGAGACGGUACCAUGGGAGGAAGCCCCGGCUAACUACGUGCCAGCAGCCGCGGUAAUACGUAGGGGGCGAGCGUUGUCCGGAAUGACUGGGCGUAAAGGGCGCGUAGGUGGCCUCACAAGUCUGGAGUGAAAGUCCCGUUUUUAAGGUGGGAAUGGCUUUGGAAACUGUGGGGCUUGAGUGUGGGAGAGGAUAGCGGAAUUCCCGGUGUAGCGGUGAAAUGCGUAGAGAUCGGGAGGAACACCAGUGGCGAAGGCGGCUAUCUGGACCAAGACUGACACUGAAGCGCGAAAGCGUGGGUAGCAAACAGGAUUAGAUACCCUGGUAGUCCACGCGGUAAACGAUGGAUGCUAGGUGUAGGAGGUAUCGACCCCUUCUGUGCCGGAGUCAACACAAUAAGCAUCCCGCCUGGGGAGUACGGCCGCAAGGUUGAAACUCAAAGGAAUUGACGGGGGCCCGCACAAGCAGCGGAGCAUGUGGUUUAAUUCGAAGCAACGCGAAGAACCUUACCAGGUCUUGACAUCGAUGGAACCUGUAGAGAUACGGGGUGCCCUUCGGGGCCCUGAAGACAGGUGGUGCAUGGUUGUCGUCAGCUCGUGUCGUGAGAUGUUGGGUUAAGUCCCGCAACGAGCGCAACCCUUGUUGUCAGUUACUAACGCGUAAAGGCGAGGACUCUGACGAGACUGCCGGGGACAACUCGGAGGAAGGUGGGGACGACGUCAAAUCAUCAUGCCCCUUAUGACCUGGGCUACACACGUGCUACAAUGGCCACUACAAAGAGGAGCGAGGUCGCAAGACGGAGCAGAUCUGAGAAAAGUGGUCUCAGUUCAGAUCGUGGGCUGCAACCCGCCCACGUGAAGUCGGAGUUGCUAGUAAUCGCGAAUCAGCAUGUCGCGGUGAAUACGUUCCCGGGCCUUGUACACACCGC
rnacentral:rRNA from 1 species